rnacentral:rRNA from 1 species
ACUCAAAGGAAUAGACGGGGGCCCGCACAAGCGGUGGAGCAUGUGGUUUAAUUCGACGCAACGCGAAGAACCUUACCUGGGUUUGACAUGUGCAGGACAGGUGAUGAAAGUCACCCUCCCUUCGGGGCCUGUACACAGGUGCUGCAUGGCUGUCGUCAGCUCGUGUCGUGAGAUGUUGGGUUAAGUCCCGCAACGAGCGCAACCCUCGCCCUCUGUUGCCAUCAGAUUAUGCUGGGCACUCUGAGGGGACUGCCCCGGUGAACGGGGAGGAAGGUGGGGAUGACGUCAAGUCCUCAUGGCCUUUAUGCCCAGGGCUACACACGUGCUACAAUGGUCAGGACAAUGAGUCGCUCCCUCGCAAGAGGCUGCCAAUCUCAAAAACCUGGCCCUAGUUCGGAUAGUCGGCUGCAACUCGCCGGCCUGAAGCUGGAAUCGCUAGUAAUCGGAGAUCAGCACGCUCCGGUGAAUACGUUCCCGGGCCUUGCACACACCGCCCGU